AACGAACGCUGGCGGCAUGCCUAAUACAUGCGAGUCGAACGAGAUCUUCGGAUCUAGUGGCGCACGGGUGCGUAACGCGUGGGAAUCUGCCCUUGGGUUCGGAAUAACUUCUGGAAACGGAAGCUAAUACCGGAUGAUGACGUAAGUCCAAAGAUUUAUCGCCCAAGGAUGAGCCCGCGUAGGAUUAGCUAGUUGGUGGGGUAAAGGCCCACCAAGGCGACGAUCCUUAGCUGGUCUGAGAGGAUGAUCAGCCACACUGGGACUGAGACACGGCCCAGACUCCUACGGGAGGCAGCAGUAGGGAAUAUUGGACAAUGGGCGAAAGCCUGAUCCAGCAAUGCCGCGUGAGUGAUGAAGGCCUUAGGGUUGUAAAGCUCUUUUACCCGGGAUGAUAAUGACAGUACCGGGAGAAUAAGCUCCGGCUAACUCCGUG
rnacentral:rRNA from 1 species